UGGGGAAUAUUGGACAAUGGGCGAAAGCCUGAUCCAGCCAUGCCGCGUGUGUGAAGAAGGUCUUCGGAAUGUAAAGCACUUUAAGUUGGGAGGAAGGGCAGUAAGCGAAUACCUUGCUGUUUUGACGUUACCGACAGAAUAAGCACCGGCUAACUCUGUGCCAGCAGCCGCGGUAAUACAGAGGGUGCAAGCGUUAAUCGGAAUUACUGGGCGUAAAGCGCGCGUAGGUGGUUCGUUAAGUUGAAUGUGAAAGCCCCGGGCUCAACCUGGGAACUGCAUCCAAAACUGGCGAGCUAGAGUAGGGCAGAGGGUGGUGGAAUUUCCUGUGUAGCGGUGAAAUGCGUAGAUAUAGGAAGGAACACCAGUGGCGAAGGCGACCACCUGGGCUCAUACUGACACUGAGGUGCGAAAGCGUGGGGAGCAAACAGG
rnacentral:rRNA from 1 species